AUUGAACGCUGGCGGCAGGCUUAACACAUGCAAGUCGAGCGGGGUGAUGGUGCUUGCACUAUCACUUAGCGGCGGACGGGUGAGUAAUGCUUAGGAAUCUGCCUAUUAGUGGGGGACAACAUCUCGAAAGGGAUGCUAAUACCGCAUACGUCCUACGGGAGAAAGCAGGGGAUCACUUGUGACCUUGCGCUAAUAGAUGAGACUAAGUCGGAUUAGCUAGUUAGUGGGGUAAAGGCCUACCAAGGCGACGAUCUGUAGCGGGUCUGAGAGGAUGAUCCGCCACACUGGGACUGAGACACGGCCCAGACUCCUACGGGAGGCAGCAGUGGGGAAUAUUGGACAAUGGGGGGAACCCUGAUCCAGCCAUGCCGCGUGUGUGAAGAAGGCCUUAUGGUUGUAAAGCACUUUAAGCGAGGAGGAGGCUCGUUUGGUUAAUACCCAAGAUGAGUGGACGUUACUCGCAGAAUAAGCACCGGCUAACUCUGUGCCAGCCGCCGCGGUAA
rnacentral:rRNA from 1 species